CAAGAUUAGAAUACGUUUUGGAUUCCUACGACAGCUAGAGUAAUUUGUUUUAACCACAGACUGUAAAAGAUUUUAAACAGACUGUAAAGUAUUUUAUAUAUUUUUUCCUGAAAUCGAUGAAAUGGGAGUGGAUCAACUUGCAAACAUUUUCCUUCCACAGAAGAAAGAAACUAUUAGUGAUGAUGUUGACUUGCAUCAUGAAUCACCAAGGAGCUAAAAAGUCACUUACAUCUCGAAUGACCUGCAGCAAGAAAAAGAAGCAAAAGAGUUGAAGCAGGCUGUCCAGCCUGUUCAGAUGGAUGUGCAAGAUCACCAGGGCACAAAGAUCAAUAUCGAAAAGAUAUGGGCAUCAUCUAUGCUGGAGCCGAGUGACCUCAAAGUCCAAUGCCUCUGUGGGGUUGUUCAGCUGAGAGGGCCGAGAAGUGGAAAUCACAUUCUACAGGCAACGCCAGAGCACAUGAAUUAUUCUGAUCAUUUUAGGGGCAGCAAAAUGAAUGCUGAGGGUGAAAUGAAAUGUAGAGAAGCGGAUGAGAUGCGGCAGACCCCAUGAUCUUUCAUUUCUUCACAUUCGGACCCUUCCAUCCCCCUCCUCAGAGUAAACAUAAAGUCAUAGACUUGGUAGAUGGAGGCAUAUUCACGAAUCUGGAUUUGACAACGGCUUCACGUUUCCGCCGAUAAUCCACCAUCUGAUGACAAAGCAAUAGCUGUGCCUUUUGGAGGCAGGUAAGCGCUAAGCUGUGGGAAAAUAGGAAUUUGGGCUAAAAAUUUAAUGCCGUCUGUGCUUUCUCGAAUUGGCUUGUGAUGGUGGACAUUGUGGGGCCAAUAAAUGCUUUCCCCUCCACCGGUGUGCUGCAUUUUCCGGCCCAUUGGAGAGAGAUGUUAGCACCUCAGAUUUGCCUUGUUUUGAAGCGAACCUUCAUGUCCUCUCUAGCAGGGAACAGCGUUUGGCUAAUGUGGCUGCAAAGGUUCAGGAGUUCACAAGAAAAGCGCUGCGACUUCCUCCGCACAUACAAUAUACUGGGGGUGUCCUUACAGAUUUAGAUCCUCUGUGCAUGGCUUCACAUUCGCUACAAACAUGAAAAACCAGACAUGAAGCCCAGUGGGAGAUUGUUACUCGGUGCCUUACAGGUUCAAUAUUUCAAGCUCUAAUGAAUUUUCGCUGGCCUUCCUGACAUCAGCUGUCUUCCAGACCACUCACUCUUCAACGCGCGCUGUUGUUCUGAUGGGCAGACAGUGAUUACCAAAUACCUGUCAUGUACUCAGAUAAGCAGGGUGAAAGGACAGAAAAAGUGAAGGCCUUGUGAUGUGACUAAUGCUACACUUUGGUGUGGUAUUCAGACUUUUAGCUCCCAUUUAGGGCUGGUAUUAGGAUGCUUUUAUGUCAAUCAGAUCGCAAGUGGACGACGCUGAGCAUAGGUGUAAAAUGGAUAUACAGUAUGACGUUUUGAGCUUGUCCAUUUUCAAACACUUACAGAGAUAGUUGGAAACACUUUUCGACUGGAUCGCAUUUGUUGAGUAAACACUCAUGUGGCCGAAUGUGUUUCAACAACUGUGAAACAGCUAAAACUUUCUUGCCUACUAACUGAACAUGCAAUAUUAUGGGGUGUAUUAUGAGAAAGUGCACCAAAACAAUCCCCUACUUUAUUUCCUUCAGCUUAUUCCCUGUUUAUGAGGGGUCGCUACAGUGGAAUGAACAGCCACUCUGGCAAUUAUUUUACACAGUUCAUGCCCUUUCAGCCAUAACCUAACAUUCAGAGAGGGAAACACCUACACACUUACCCAUUCACACACUUCAGCCAAUUAAGUUUAUCCAAUUCACCUAUACUGCAUGUCUUUAGACCGUUGGGAAGCCCACACAGACCUGAUCUACAGUAGAUGGGACUUGAGCCAACAACCUUCUUGUUGUGAGGCAACCAUGCCAGCCACUUAGCCACCAUGCUGCCCUGCACCAAGACAAGGUAUGCAUAAUUUGCCAUUGUAACAACCCACAUGCAUUAUGUUAGAAAUGAUUUCUGCCAUCUGAAUAUUUUUAUUUCCUUGCUUUCUCGCCCACUAGUAAGUCAAGUCACCAUUUUUAACUUACCUGUGAGCAUCCAUAGCUAUAGAUUGUGUCAAAGCAGCUUUAAAGAAGCAAUAUCAGAAAGGUCACGAAGUUUCAGUUUGAGUCUGUUCAAUGAUGAUUCAGUUCAGUUCAGUAUGAAUCUCAUUGCUAAAGGAUGUGAUGGCCUGUAAGGAAGCUCUACUGACCCCAGAAGGGCCUAAGGACCCAACUGCCAUGAGAUGGUGGAAAAAAGACCUUGGGAGAAGCAGUUCUUAGUCUGAGAAUGAGUUCUCCUAUGUCCAAUGAAGAAGCAGAGCUGCAGUAAAUAACUGGCCGAUCAGUGGCCUUGUGCACUUCAGUGUGUUUCUGGGUAUUGACUUUGUUCAUUCAGGUGACUUUCUGUAGCACACGUGCAUUACACUGAAGCCUCACGUGAACAGUAUUGACACAAUAUGAACUAAAUUAGACAGACAAGAGAGAAAACCAAUUAAAAGCAGGAAAACACGCGUGAAAUGCACAAAUAAUUUUUUUUCCACUGAGCAAAACAACUAUUAUUAAUAUUAUUGAAAGUCUUAAAAUGUCUUACAUUUCAAAAACAUUAUUGUAGGCCUUAAAAAGUCUUAAAUUAACUUAAAUAUCAUCUUGUAGAUCUUAUAAAUUUUUAAAUGGGUUAUGUAAAGCUACCCAAUCAAUUCAACAUGCAUACGAUCACCACCAACAAUACAUGUACAUUUUGACACAACUUUAAGCAAAACUCUAUUUUAACUAACAAUAUAACAGUACCUUGUACAUACAUUUAGUUUUUUAAAGAUUUAAAGAGUUUUUUAUGUUAUGUUGAAAAAAAUUCAUCUAUAGAACUAGGGUUUGCUUGAUUUGACACGUUACUUAAAAUAUGUGGCUAAUUUUUAAAAAAUGUAUAGCAUUUAGCCUUAUAUAAGUCUGAAAUUUCAUUCUUCACAGUCUUAAUAAUGUAUUAAAAGGUCUUUAAAUUUGACUUGAACCAUUAUUGUGAAUGAUUGAAAAUUGUCAUUACCGUACAUCUGGUCAUUGACAUUUAAAAAUCUCAUACAAUUUUAGGUCAAAUUUGGAUAAAAUAUGUUAUAGGGUGCUUUCAUAUUUUGCCAAAUUUGAGUAGAAACAGCACAUUUACUGAGUACCUGUUAAACCUGUAAAAACAAAUAUCUAAUCUGCCAGUCAGGUGGCAGCAUUGAGGUAUGUU
rnacentral:lncRNA from 1 species